rnacentral:lncRNA from 1 species
CAACAAGCAGGCCCAACUACUAUCAGCCUGCCAUCUCUCGGGGCCAGAUGUAUCUCAUUGAUGUAAUUUGACAGGGACUCCCGAUGCUUUUGAAGGAGGCCCUUCGCUGCCUGAAAUCAGCAGAGCCGGAUCUCCUCUCUCCCUGACCUUUAGGGCUGGGGCUGUUCAGAUCCCACAGCUCUCUUACACCUUUCCUCGUGGACUACACCGCUACCCAUGAAGAUCAGAAAGAAGAGC